AUUGCAAGGAGUAUUUAUUAGCACCUGCAGCCUUCCAGGAAUGUAUUAGGUUCAACAGAAUAAACAAGGUGAAUUAGAUAACCCCGAGUCACGUGUAGGAGAGAAGAUGAGUGGUGAUUGUGAUACCGUUUAUUGAGCAUCUUGUGUGUCCCAGGCACUGCCAGGUCUCUGGCCAAGUCCUCUCAUUUGGCUUUCCCUGCUCUGUGCCGCAGGUCCGGGAAACAAGACGCCGAAGAGAUGGAACGACUUGGCCUGUCCAGUUACAGGGUUAGCAGUUGUUUGCCCUUUUUUUUUUUUUUGGCCGAACCCAUGGCAUGUGGAAGUUCCCGGGCUAGGGAUCGAACCCCAGCCACAGCAGCGACAGUGCCGGAUCCUUCACCUGCUGAGCCACUAGGGAACUCCACACAGGCAGCCUUGAAUAGAGGGCACUGACACAGCCUGUGCUUACUCAGCUCUCACCUGUGUCCAGCCCUGCCAGAGUGUGCCUGAUUUCACUCGUUAAAGCCUGACAGCUUUUAGGUGGGUGCUGUUAGGGUCCCAUUUGCACAGGAGCAGACAGGUGCAGUGAGGCCCAGGGUUACAGAGUUCGUGGUGGAGAAGGUGGAUGCAGGUGGUCUGGCCCCAGAGCCUGUUGUGCUGUAUCUGUGGCGGUUGCUUUAAAUUAAUGGAAGCUCUGGGCUUAGAUUUGUGAUUCUGAGUGUUUACUAUGGACGUGAGGGGCUUCCUGGACGGUGGGUAGGCCUGGGGUCGUCAGUUCCCCCUAAACUGGGAAAGUGGUUCCUGGGUUGGGGCUCACUAAUUGCCACAUGAUUCAACCAAGUUCCCUGUGUCCAUGUUCCUAAAUUUCGUGAGAUUUAUCUAACUGCGUAUUUAUUCUUUCUUCUAUUCCUUGACCUAGAAAGACGGUCACCACGUUUACACUAAAAAGAACGGCUGAGGGAGUGAAAUACAUCCCCCAUUUUGUGGUGUAGUAAGUGCGGGCUCCUGGGAUUUAAAGUUUGUUCAGGGUCACCUAUGGCUUUUGAGCCAGGAAGACACUACCUUUCGGCAAGAAGGCCUUCUUGGGCCAUUGUUUACUCUUCUAGCAGGGUGGCUACUGUGUAUCUCUUUCUUUAACCUUAAUUUUUUUUUCUUCAAAUAAUACAUGCCCUGUGCAUAGUUUAGGAUGUCAGUAGCGCCAAGAGACACUGAGAACGCUGCCAUCCUCUCCUGCCUUUCCGGAGAGGCAGCAGCACUUGACACUGUAGAAUUUACCUCAUGUUUCUCCGUAACAUGCUUGAGUUGUCCUGUCUUUGUUCACCGAUUUUGGGGUUAUCUGCCAGCUUCCACUAAUGGCAGAUGACGGUACCACGUCCCUCGUCCCCUGUCAUGUAGGUAGCUCCCCGUUUUGGUUAAAUCCAUUUCAGCACUGCUGCCAGUCUGUCCAGGUCGUCACUGUGCUUUGCUGAGCUGAGCGCUUACCCCUGAUCCUAUUUCUUCUCUUGUGUAGCCUUUUUUACUUACCUGGAGUUAACGUUCACUUAUUUUUCACAGCCGCUUAAAGAUGUGGCAUUGCGGCUGCAGCAGCUUGGGUUGCUGCUGUGACGCAGUUUCCAUCCCUGGCCCUGGAGUUAGCAUAGGCUGCAGGCACUAAUUGCCUGUGUUUCCUUUGCCUGUUCUCUUUGAACCUCAGAAUUAUGUUGCGGAGACUUUCAUUCUGUAGGAUCUUUUUCCCACUCAGCCCUGGCAGCGCAUCUGUCCGUUCCGAGGUGCUCCUCAGGCACCCUACCCCAGACAGGCUUCCUGGGCUCAGGUCGGGGUCGGUCUGUGCACACGUCAUCCUGGGAGCUCUCCCGUCCUGCCUUCUGUGGCUCCCCUCUGGGUGUUCCCUCCUCCUAGUGGUGGCUCACGUUUCCAGUGGCUUCCCAGUAGUUUGCUGGGAGGCAAACUUUUGAGGCUUGCACGUCUGAAAAUGUUUUUAUUCUACCACUGCACUUAAAGAGUAAAUUUGGCGGGAGUUGCUGUUGUGGGGCAGUGGUAACGAAUCCGACUGGGAAACCUGAGGCUGUGGGUUCGAUCCCUGGCCUCGCUCAGUGGGUUAAGGAUCCGAUCUGGUGUUGCUAUGAGCUGUGGUGUAGGUUGCGGACGUGGCUCGGGUCUGGCGUUGCCCUGGCUGUGGUGGAGGCCGGCAGCUGUAGCAAUGAUUAGACCCCUAGCCUGGGAACCUCCACAUGCCGCCAGUGCAGCCUUAAAAAGAC
rnacentral:lncRNA from 1 species